AUUGAACGCUGGCGGCAGGCCUAACACAUGCAAGUCGAGCGGAUGAUGGGAGCUUGCUCCUGGAUUCAGCGGCGGACAGGUGAGUAAUGCCUAGGAAUCUGCCUGGUAGUGGGGGACAACGUUUCGAAAGGAACGCUAAUACCGCAUACGUCCUACGGGAGAAAGCAGGGGACCUUCGGGCCUUGCGCUAUCAGAUGAGCCUAGGUCGGAUUAGCUUGUUGGUGAGGUAAUGGCUCACCAAGGCGACGAUCCGUAACUGGUCUGAGAGGAUGAUCAGUCACACUGGAACUGAGACACGGUCCAGACUCCUACGGGAGGCAGCAGUGGGGAAUAUUGGACAAUGGGCGAAAGCCUGAUCCAGCCAUGCCGCGUGUGUGAAGAAGGUCUUCGGAUUGUAAAGCACUUUAAGUUGGGAGGAAGGGUUGUAGAUUAAUACUCUGCAAUUUUGACGCUACCGACAGAAUAAGCACCGGCUAACUCUGUGCCAGCCGCCGCAGUAAAAC
rnacentral:rRNA from 1 species